rnacentral:rRNA from 1 species
AUGGCCGCCGCCCUCGACGGCGUCUCCUCCUGCGGCAGCAUCAACAUGCGCCGCGUCGACCACCUCCUCCCGCUCCCGCUCCCCUGCGUCGGCGAGUCGACCGCCGCCUCCCGCGUCUCGCUGGGCUCCUCCCCCGCCCGCUCCGACGCCUCCGAGGGCGCCGCCUCCUUCUACGCCGAGCCCCACCCGGAGGACCAGCCCGAGGCGUCCGCGGGGAGGAGCACGCAGAUGCUGCUCGCCAUGGCCGCCAUGGGCGGGCGCGGCGGCCCCUACGGCCGCCGCCCGGCGUCCUCCUACGGCAGCUGCGCCGCCUGGAGCGCCGGCUCCCUCACCGCGCACCGCCCGGCCUCCCCGUCGCCCAUAUGCAGCCCCGUCAGCAGCAAAGGCGGCGACGGCUGCCGGGGCGGCGGAGAGCGGCGCGACGAUGGCGACACGUCCUCCUUCGUCACGUCACAGCAGGAACAAGAGCAAGGGAGGUUACCAACGAGAGAAGAUUUCGCCAAGUGUUCUGCUACGCCACGAAACAUCCGACUACAGACUCCCAGGCACCCUUCUCUGCCGGACAGGAGAGCUAACGGAUCCAGUCGAGGGCCUCCAAAAUUCGUCCACAAGGCCACGCCAGCUAGAUUGAUGCGCCGAGCUCGCUCCUCACAUAACUACCAUGGGAAGCGCAUGGGAGCAAUUGAUGCUGUCAAUGAAUGGAGAUUGCCUAAAGUAAGUGAAGAGGCAGAUGAGGCAGUGGAUCAGAAGGACUGGCAGGAUGAUGCUAUGUCAUCUCGUGUAUCCUCAGCUCGUGAUUGGAACUUCGAGUCGGAUAGUGCCUAUGAGGGAAGCAAUCAUGAUGGUCGUGCUUUUGAGCAUUCAGAGGUCGAGGAUUGUGCAGCUGCAGUGCAAAGGAUGGAGAGACGGCUGCGGUGCCCUGCGAGGAAACAUGAGGAAAAUGCUGUCCACGCCAAGUUGGUUGCCUGGAAGGAUGCACAGAUUGCAAAGCUCAUAGAAAAGCUGAAUCAGAAAGAAGCCCAGAUCGAUAAAUGGCAGAAGAAUAAGAUUGCACAGGCCAGGCAUAAACUGACAAAAACUGAGAAGAAGUUGGAGAAGCAGAGAGCUGAAGCUGCAGUGAAGAUGCAAAAGGCGAUAGAAGAUGCAGAGAGGAGAGCUGAUAAGAAGAGAGUCAAGAAGCAGGCAGCCACCAACAGUCGGAUAGAUGGUGUCAAGAGAGCCCUGGAGGAGAUGUCUAGGACAGGAAGGCUACCCUGGACACUUGCUUUUCUGUGA